UGAGGGUUGAAUUUCUGACACAGGAACUUUCAAAGGACACAUCCCAGCCGCUGGAACCACCGGGCUGGCUGAUGAUCUGUUGCACAGCAAGAACUGGACAGGGUCAGCCAGUCAUCCAGUUACUUCUGCAAAGCCUCUCUUCUCAGCAUGCCACCUCAGCGAUGCAGCCAGGGUCACCGGAGGCUCUCAGUCAGCAAACAGGGCAACUUGCUACCUUCUUCUGGUUCUUUGAAUUCCAGAUGGACUUCAAGAUGCAGAAUCCCAUAACCACGAAUUGCCAGGCCUCUGAUGGGACCUGCUACGGCUGCCAUGGUGUUUACUGGAGCCGCUGCUCGGCAGUAACUUUGAAGAGCCUCUGGGCUGUCUUCUAUUCUGCCUCGAAGGCCCAGGACAGAAGAGAAGGAAAAGGGCAAGCAGAGGAAGGAGGAGAGCAAGCUCCCCACAGAAGCUCCUGGAAGUUCCUGACUGAUGGUAGACGCUGAUAGUGAACAAAACUUAGUCAUGCUCAAGGCUCUGAGUGCCAUCAGCUGGACAGGCUUGUCUAGAUGGGGAAACUGAGUCCCAAAGAACAGUGGUGGUUUGCUCAAUAUGCAACAGAGUGGGGAAUCAAACCUGGUACUCUGGUCCCAACAUGGAUUCUCUUUUUUUCCUGAAAUCAACAUGGGCCUGGGGGCAGCUCAAAGAGGCUGUCUGACUCUUUGGUGGCCUCAUCAAUCCUUCUACAGGAAGCAGACUCCCAUCAGGUAUCUGGGGAGUGUGAGGAAAGAGCUGGUGCUGGCCCUGGGCCCCGGCUUCCACCUGAGUGCCAACAGCUGCUCCCGCAGGUCUUUCUGCCUCCCUCUCUUCUGCUAUAAAAUGCUCACCUGUGUUGCCCAACAGGUGAUGAUGGCCAACAUGAGAUCAUCCCUGAAAGGAGCGUGCAGGCUGUGGCACUCUACACUGAAGGGAAAUGAACACACCAACCCCUUUGGCUCCUUGAGUCCAAUUAGAUGACUCUAGCUCUUUCCCUCUCCUUAAAACAAAGUUGUUCAGUCCAGGGACGUGUUUACCUCCACCCACUCCGGGCCUGGCCUAGGCCCCUUUGGCCAGCAAUACACUUGAGCCAAAUCCUGGCUCCCAGCUUCUCCAGAGAAAAGGGCUGCACCUGAUUUGCAUUAAUCUGCCCUGGCCUUGCCAGACUUAGGCUAAAUUAAGUGCAUCCUUGGCCAGCAGCUCUGUCCCCCACAAACUGCACAUUCUUCCACGCUCUGUCCCUCGUACCCACAGGGGUGUCUUCUCAUCAGGCAGUGGAAAGUUGACAGGACCUCCCAGCCUCUGUCGCCUAUGCUUUCCCUGGCUCUGACUGGCCUUUAGGCAGUAAGGAAAGACAGGGUCCCUGUGCCUGUGGGCAUCUGGUGCUAGGCCCCCCCUGUCCCUGCAUACAGUUUCUAGCCCCUUCUAGGCACAUGGAGAGGGGAGAGAACCAUCUGCCUUCCUGGAGUCUGAGCUCUAGAGAAACGUGACAUGUGCAAAGGAGAUGGAGCCUACAGAAUGCUGGAUGGUGAAUAGUGCUAUAAAGGAGAGAAAAGAGAGCCCGUGAGAUGGCUCAGUGGGUAAAGGCACUUGCAGCCAAGCCCGACUACCAGUGUUCAAUUCCCAGCCUCCACAAGGUGGCAGGAGAGAACUGACACCCAGGAGCUGUUACACCCUCCACCGACAUGGUACUCUCCUACACACACAAGUAAACAGAUAAAAUGUUAAAAGGAGGCUGAGGCUAUAGCGUGUGUGUGUGUGUGUGUGUGUGUGUGUGUGUGUGUGUGUGUGUGUGUGCUUGUCUAGCGCGUGUGAGACUUUGGUCUGAGUAAAACAACAAAUCCCAGGAGAACAGUGUGGGGCCCCAGAGUAUGAUGGGCAGAGAGGAAACAGGAAAGCUUGGGUCCAGACAGGCAUCUCUAAAAGAAUGGCAGCUGGGGAAACCUCCAGAGCUCCCUCACACAAGGACUGGCAUUCUUAGAGCGCUGGUACUCCGUAUUCCUUUCCGCUUUUUCAGAAGCUAGGGAAGACACCAAACUGUUGGCAGGGCUCCCUGGAAGCAGGCGAGGAAAUGGUGCCCUUUCUCCUCCAUGGGAAGAGGCUCUUCUGUGAGUGGAAAUCCUGUCAGGACUCAGGGUUUUGUGUGGCUUUGAAGGGUUUAGCAGCUAGGGACUAGGUAAUGUGAAGCCAAGCCUUUGACCCUCGAUAGCCAAAGAUGUCUCAGCUGGUCAAUGGAAACGGCCUCCACCAGAGAGAAGCUACCCAAGGCAGGGCUCGUGGGUCCCUGUUUGCCUCACCUGGGGAGCAUGAUGUGUGCUUUGGGCAGGAGCUUGGGCCACAAGUGUGGCUAGAGGCAAGAUGUCCCGUCCUAUCUCCCUCAAUCCCAGAGCUACAUAUGUGUGUGUGUGUGUGUAUGUGUGCGUGCGCGUGCGCGCGCACUCGCACACACACGCUAUCCUACACUAUCCUACACAGACUCACCUGUCACUCAUCCACCUGUUCACACCACAACACCCCCUCAUGACUCAGAAGGAUUUCCAGGCACACGCAGACAUGAGUCAUCUUGAAUCACACAUACACACACACUACAUACUACACAGACUCUUUGCACACUCACAUACACAGUGCACCACAUCCCAGAAAGUGCUCAAACACCCAUAAGCAUGUAAAACAUACAAUCACACACACACACACACACAAAAAAAAAAAAACAUCACAAACACUCAUCAU